AAUGGGAUGCAAUAAUUCUUUGAUCGUAGGUACAACUGCAUUGAUUGAUGUGUGCAAACGUGAUCGGUUAUGCGAGAAUCCGAUAGGAUACAAUGUUACCUUGUGUAAGGUUUCAUGCGAAUGGUCUGGCUACAGUUUCUACAACAGCUAUUGUGAGGAGGGUAAAUGCUGUUGCGCAUCCUAAGGAAUUGAACGAGGUGCCAAAACGCCAUGCUUGUAAGAUAUGAUGAAUUCCAAUAAACAAUAAAAGUUAGUUUUGGCACGACUGUGCAAUUUCAUGAUUUCAUCAAUAUGGAUGCUAUUCAAGGUAUUUUGAUAUAUAUAGUUAUCCAAAGUUGCCAAGGAGAUUGUGGACGACUAAUUACUGAGUCACUCUCCUUUUGUGUUUACAAUUCCUCAUACCAAAAUCGGUUUUCUCCCUCUCAAGAUCCAAGACCCCUUUGCCAAGUGCAGCUACACCGACGACUCUGAAUUUGCAAAACCGUUCUUAAUAUGAGAUAAUAUGAAUUAGCAAAACCGUUCUCAUAUCGAUAUAAGUGAAUUGGCAAAACCGUUUCAUAUUAAAAUAACUUGAAUAGUGUCUUCAUUGAUCACGUGGGUGCAAGCCUGGAAGAUCUUCAAGUGCUUUUUCGCUGGCGACGAGCUAACUCCCGUUCCAAGGCCAAUGCCAUAAUCACUUAAUUGCUUUAUUCGCUAGCACCGCGUGAUUAGAGAGCGUUUGAGAUCAUCAAAUAGCUCGGCCACGGCUGGCCGGUGGACCACAUGUGACUCGUCGUGAACACGUGGGUACUUGGCCAUCAGCCAAACCAUGCGGACUUGCCAGGUGUAUGACGAAUGAAUUUCAUGGCGGAAUUAAUCUGCUAGAACGGUUUACCCUCGCCGAAUCCCUGUUGCAUGCAUGUGUACAAUGUAGUAAGACUAGUUAAAUGCCCGUGCGUUGCCAAACGAAAUCUUCAUACAAAAAUGCUUUAACAAAGCAAAAGCAUGUUACCCCGUCCCUAUUUACUAAUCAAUGAAAAUCAGAUAUAAAUGUAGAACCUCAUCAUAUCCACACCUCAAAAAUCUACGUGAGAAUAAAGACAAUCUACUUAAAACAAUGUAUACUUAAUUUGCAUGUUAUCCUUGAGAACUGGAUAACCUUUUUUCCCUUUGUUUUGAAAGGUCAUAUACAUGAAACUACAAAUCAGUAAAAAAAACUUGAUAAUAACUCCAGGAAUAAACGCCGUACACUGAAGCAGGUCUGCAGGGCAUGGAACCUUCCUUUGUUUUGCUCUCGUCUCUUCCUUCUCUGUUGAGCAGGUCCGCAGGCCAUGGAACCUCCCGCAGGGCAUGUCAUCUGUUUGUUUUUCUGAUGUCUUGCUCUACUUUACUCUCUGUUGUGCAUCUGAAAAUAAUUUGAUGAUUGGUUGCCGAAGCGUUGCUUCAAUUUCAGCUUAACAAGAACAUAAAUGUGCCUGAUACAAUCCUUCAUAUCGGCUGUGAUUCUCCAGCAUAAGUAUUAAUAUGCGUGAUUGUGUACCUUAUCUAUUCCCAGUCACUAGUCCUCAACAUGAUAAAGACGUUUCAGUGGAUCUGGAUAUGAUUCCAAUUCCACCACCGUAUGAGUUUGUUAAACAAAUUUGUUAAAUUAUCUGUAUUACUUAUUUAAAAUAGUUGUUAUUCGAUAAAUUCACUUUGGCUCAUAGGUGUAAAUGUACCAAUUGUCUAAAUACACAUUUUUUAAAAGUAAAAAAACUCGAGAAAAAAUGCCGCUUGUACAUCUGGACAUUAUAUGUUUGUGCACAACGUUUCGGUGAGAAAGGAAUUUUUGUGCCUUGUGUAAAAAAGACAACUUUUGAUACUUGUGCUACUGUUACAAGGCAUUUCCUAUUUAUAGUGCUGCUGUUGCAAGGCAUUUCCUGUGGCGCCAGUUAACGUGCAUUUUAUUAACUGGCGCCUGUGGCGUCCCUAAAUGGGACGGCCCAUCUAGGCGCCGGUUGACGAUUUUUUCUCAAAACAUUCUGUGAACUUUUUUGAAUAUUGAUGAAAUUUUUAAAAAUUUCAAUAGUUUUUUGUUUCAGAUUGAUGAACUUUUUUGAAAUUUAAUGAAAAUUUGUCUUCAAAAUGUAUGAACUUUUUUUGAUUAUUAUGUAUUUUUAGAACAAGUUCAUGGAACUGAAAAAAAUUCAUCCAUUUUGAAGACAAAUGUUCAUUAAAUAUCAGAAAAGUUCAUCAAUAUUCAAAAAAUUUCAUAAAUCUGAAACAAAAAACUUUUGAAUUUUUUUAAAAGUUCAUCAAUAUUCGAAAAAGUUCACAGAAUGUUUUUAGAAAAAAUCAUCAACCGGCGCCUAGAUGGGCCGGCCCAUUUACGGACGCCACAGGCGCCAGUUAACAAAACGCACGUUAACUGGCGCCUGUAGCGCCAAAUAGGAAAUGCACUGUUAGAACGCACAUGCUCCUUCCCUUUGUUUGAUAGAGUGGGCCAACGCAUCUAAGGUCCGAGCGGGACACUCCCCUUCCCCAGUUUUAGUAAGCAUUUAGAUGCGUCCGGGAGGUUUUCCUUUUUGCUUAAUCCUUUUAGACCGGUUUAGAUUCGGUUUUUCUUUUCUUUUUUCCCUUUUUUCCAAUGAGAAAACUAUUUUCAAAAUAAAAAACAAAAUAUUCAAAUUCGCUUGUUUCCAAAUUCAUGAACCUUUUCCCAAAACCCUUUAUUUUUUUAAAUCCAUAACUUUUUUCCAAAUCCAUGAACUUUUUCAAAUGCAUGCAUUUUUUCAACUGUUUGAACCUUUAUCCAAAUUCAUGAACAUAUUUUUCAAAGUCCGUGUAGUUUUCUCAAAUUUGUGUUUUUAUUUAAAAUCCAUGUUUUUUCAAAUCUAUGAUUUGUUUUUCCCAAUCCACUUUUAUUUGCUUUUCGUUUUUUAUAAAUUUCCCAAUUCAUUUUAUUAUUAAUACUGUGGAAACUUUUUCUUUUCGGUCAUGGCCACUUCCAGUGUUAUUCCUAUUUGUUUUUGUAAAUAAAAAUAUAAAGCAUGUCAAAUUUGUGAAUGGGCCAAAACUAUUAUUUUUGGGCCAAUACUUUUUUAAUUAAUAUGCCUACUUGUUUAUUUUCAGUUUUUUUCCAGGCUAACACUGAUUUUUACAUGGUGGUGAGUGGGUUGUAGUUGGCCACUUUUUUGGGCCUGGAGCCACACUCGCAAAAGUCGCGGGGGAAUUGGUUCUUUUGAUCGAGCCAACUCCAGCGAUUUCGCUCGAAGCAACCCCCAGCUAAUGUCCCCCAACUAAUGUGGUCCUACUAUUAAUGUCUUGGUAUAUACAAAAAACAAAGCGGCAUUUAGUAACUAGUUGUCGACAACCUAUAUUUUGGUAUGUGUAUUCCAGUAACUUAUGAUAGUCUUUAUAUCUUGGUAUAUAGAGAACAAGGAGGAAUUUAAUAACCAUUUGUUGACAGGAUAUAUUCGAGUAUAUUCCAAUAACUCUUAUAAUAGUAUUAAUUGACAUGAGUUGACUAUGCAUAUAUAGCUACAAAGGAUGAUAACACUAACAUUGGAUUCUCCAUUAUUUUCUUCUUGAAAUGAAGAUGCUCCGAGAUGUGAUAGUGCCUCUAUAUAAACGAAGUUAUUUAUCAGUCGAUGUAGUUUUCGCAAAUUUGUGUUUUUUUAAAUAAAAGAAUUCCAGAUCUGUAAACCUUUUGCAAUUCUAUGAUUGUUGAAAUCCAUUUUUAUUCGAUUUUCAUUUUUUAUGAAUUUCCCAAUUCAUUUUGUUAUUAAGAGCAUGAUGUUUUUUGUUUUCGGUCAUGGAACUUUGAGUGGUAUUCCUAUUUUUUCUGAAAAUAAAAAUAUAAAGCAUGUAAAUUUGUUAAUGGGCCAACACUAUUAUUUUCCGGUCAACACUUUUUAAUUAAUAUGCAAAUUUGUGAAAUUUUAGUUUUUUUUCCAGGCAAGCACUGAUUUUACACUGGUGGUGAAUGGGUUGUAGUUCGCCACUUUUUUUGGGCCUGCUCCCACACUCGCAAAAGUCGUUGGGGAAUUGGUUCUUUUGAUCGAGCCAACUCCAACCCCCAGCUAAUGUCCCCCAACUAAUGGGGUCCUAGUAUUAAUGUCUUAGUAUAUACCAAAAACAAAGAGUCAUUUAAUAACCAGCUGUCGAUGACCUAUAUUUUGGCAUGUAUAUUCCAAUAACUCUUAUGAUAGUAUUAAUGUCUUGGUAUAUAAAGAACAAGAAGGCAUUUAAUAACCAGUUGUUGACAGGAUAUAUUUGGGUAUAUUCCAAUAACUCUUAUAAUAGUAUUAAUUGACAUGAGUUGACUAUGUAUAUAGAUACAAAGGAUGACAACACUAACAUUGGAUUCUCCAUUAUUUUCUUCUUGAAAUGAAGAUGCUCCGAGAUGUGAUAGUGCCUCUAUAUAAUACCACAAUAAGGACUCAAAUACAACGAGCAAUAUCAACCUCAAGGAAUAUCUUGCAAGGGAGGAAAAAAAUAGGUACCCACACUUCUGAUGGCACUUACCAAGAACAACACAAAUGCCCUGUGUUUGGUAAUUCUUAUGAUGUCUACCACUUUGUUGCCAUGCGAGGCAACUGGGAGAAACAAAGGUACACUCAUUUGUUUAGACCAGUCAAAUUUUGUAUUAAUAUACACAGACUUUAGGUUUUGAGACAUUCUAGAGUAACAUGUGUAAUUUAUACUACAUUACUAAUCUGAAAUGGGACUUCUUUGUGCGUAGGUACAACUGCAUUGAUUGAUGUGUGCAAACGUGACCGGUUAUGCGAGAGCCCGAUAGGAUACAAUGUUACCUUGUGUAAGGUUUCAUGUGAAUGGUCUGGCUACAGUUUCGACAACAGCUAUUGUGAAGAGGGUAAAUGCUGCCGCGCAUCCUAAGGAAUUAAACGAGGUGCCAGAACGCCAUGCUUGGAAGAUAUGGUGAAUUUCAAUAAACAAUAAAAGUUAGUUUUGGCACAACUGUGCAACUUAAUGGUUUCAUCAAUAUGAAUGCUAUCCAAGUUAUUUUGAUACGAAAAACCGUGUUUCAAAGUCGCCAAGGAAACGAGGGACGACUGAUUAUUGUGUCACUCUCUCCUUCAGUGUUU
rnacentral:lncRNA from 1 species